UGCCAGCAGCCGCGGUAAGACGAGAGGCCCAAGCGUUACUCGGAAUCACUGGGCUUAAAGGGUGCGCAGGCGGUUCAGCAAGUCGGCUGUGAAAGUUCGAGGCUCAACCUCGAAAUUGCAGUCGAUACUGCUGUGACUUGAAUUCGGUAGAGGAGAAUGGAAUUCCCGGUGUAGCGGUGAAAUCCGUAGAUAUUCGGAGGAACACCAGUGGCGAAGGCGGCUUUCUGGACCGAUACUGACGCUGAGACGCGAAAGCGUGGGGAGCAAACAGGAUUAGAUA
rnacentral:rRNA from 1 species